rnacentral:misc_RNA from 1 species
GGAGAAGUGACUAAUUCACAGCAGCAGAAGAAGAAAAUCGUGAUUGGUGACGAUGGUUAUGUUCUAGAAGAUGUUCCUCAUUUGUCUGAUUACAUUCCGAAUCUUCCUACAUAUACUAAUCCAUUGCAGCAUAAUCCUUCAUAUUCAGUCGUUAAGCAGUAUUUUGUCAAUGAGGAUGAUACAGUUGCCGAAAAGGUUGUUGUCCACAAGAACAGUCCAAGGGGGAUACAUUUUCGUCGAGCUGGUCCUUGCCAAAAAGUUUAUUUUGAGCCAGAUGAUGUUUAUGCAUGUAUUGUAACAUGUGGAGGCUUAUGUCCCGGUCUCAA